AAAAGGGGGCGGGGCAAGAGGAAGCAAAGAGGGCCAUAGAGGUCUCUGCACGUCCGAUGCCCAAUUGAAGCUGUGAGGAGAGCCACAAGGCGGGGAAACGUAGAGAGAUGGGGCUAAGAUAAGGUGUUGUUUUGUCGAAGGCUUUCAUGGCCGGGAUCACAGGGUUGUUGUAUGUUUUCCGGACUGUAUGGCCAUGUUCCAGAAGCAUUUUCUCCUGACGUUUCGCCCACAUCUAUGGCAGGCACCCUCAGAGGUCGUGAGCAGGACAUACAGUGGAUCCAAGACUCUGCUUCUGGAAGACAAUUAUACUCAGCCAUAAGGGAUCACCGAUGAUGAUGAUGAUGAUGAUGAUGAUGAUAAUGAUGAGUGGGCCCAUAGUAUCUACUCAAGUUGGUUCCAGCACCCUCCAUGACCAGCAAAAUCUGUUGAUCAAGUUCAGUUAUAUACAAUAUCAUAGUAAAUGGUGAAUUCUCUAUAAAAUGGCCACAUCAAGACUUGCUUUGUGGAACUUUUGGCGAGGGAGGAGUGUUGAGCGUUAAUAUUUUCUACCUGUUGAUAGUUGAAUCUGUGGAUAUGUGACUGUGUUUCACUUUUAUAAUUGGCAAACAAAACUGAAUGUAGCUGAAUAUGUUACACUUAUGUGUUCAAGAAAGCACCAAAUUGCUGAAUAAGGAGCAGGAUCUGAUAAAAAUGCUAGCAUCCCUAUUGCCUAAUGCUGUUCUUUGCUUAAUGCUAGUAAAACAGGCAAUUUGAGUUCCUUCUACCUCUUUUAAUUUUUUUUAACACUGGUAAAGGCCUAUUAUUUUAACUUUAAAAGUGAGUAUGGCUGAAGUCACUCCUCAGACUGCUACAAAUUUCUGAUGUCUGCAUCUGACAUUAAAAAUAAUUUUAUGUUUGUAUUUUAUGCCUAGUACUAAUAUGGAUUUAUGACACAAAGCACACUAUUCCUUAGUAAAUUUGUUCAUUCAAAAAAAUUUGCUGCCAUUGGCUGUAAUUGACAAUAUUUAAAGCUAUAUUUAUUUAUGGUUUGAACAUUCCCCAUGGCUUUGCUACAAACAGCAAAUUUUAGAAUGCUAAGUGAUCCAUUAGUAUGACGUGCAUUGCUAUGGUAAUUCACCUUUAGAAGCCAAAUAUUCUUGAACUCCUAAAUUGCUAUGGCUUUUUUAGCCUAGAGUUAUCUUCCAUUAUGGAAAGCAUUUCCCUGGGAAAAUGAAAGUGCACAUUAAAGAUUAUUUUUCUGAUUUUCUGCAAAAUUGUUCCUAAUAGCUUUAUUGCCCGAGCAUGUGGAAUUGCUCUAAUUCUAGCAGCAUAAUGUACCUUAGACUACUGUGUUGCCUUUAAUAUUAAUAAAGGCAGACAUCUCAGUAUUGUUAUACACAGGACUGAUGUCUCCUAUUUUUCAGUUUUAAACACACAUAUUAAAGAAGAAGUCCAGUGGAGCCUAGUGGAAAUUAUAUACAGUGUAUACAAGCAGCAGAAUAAAAUAAUAAAGCAUAAUCUGGAUUGUACAGUUUUGAGUUCCUAUUGGAUCUUUGAGAGCUACUGUGGCAGAAAAAUUGAAGUCAGGGUAUGACUGAUAUGCAAUUUAAGUUCUUACUAUAUGAACACACCCAACUACUUAUGACUUCAUCACACACAGUAAACAUCAGUGUUUCUACACAUUUAAGAAACUGCAACCCCCAGUGCCCUUCACAUAACACAAGCUUCAACUGUGGGGAUGAGGUAUUUUGCCCUUUCUAAAGUGUUGGUUUUUCCAAUGAUUCCUAAGCCAGUUGGCAAUUGACUUAUUUUAAAAUUCCCUACAGAGAUUGCCAAAAUAGCCAAUUUCCCUCUGUGGUGUUAAUUCCUGUUGCCUGCUUUUGUUGCCCGACUAUAAAUAAAACGAUGACACUGUGUGUUCUGCCCCCACGCUAUCUAACUGCUUGGAAGGUGAACUGCUUGCACAGGGAACAAAUGGAGGACACUUAGACAAAAACAGUGUACAAGGAUUUAAUAACUGAUGUAAGUGUGAAUCCCUUCCUCUUCCUGGAUCUAAUUGGCGCAGUCCUCAGAAGAUAGAUAAAGUCCUUGAAAAAGAGGCUCUAAAUUAUUUAUCUUCUCUGAUGUUCUUCCUCAUGCUGGUGUCUGUCUGUCUCUGGAGUGAUUCAGAUAUUUGACUUGACUUUGUAAAAACUUUGACUUGUCUUCGACGUGACUCCGUCUGUGACAUGCUAUUUUGUAGAUUUUCCUAGCCUUCCUCUCUUCUCACUUUCCACUUGUAAAAUGGUUAAUUCUCCAAUGAACAGGAAGGGCUUGCCUGAGGCCCCACCCUUGUUGGGAGAAUUCGUAAAGGGGCAGGAAGGGGGUGGCUUAAAGAAAAAUGGGCUAUCUAGACUGAUUCCCCCACAAAACUAUACACAAAAUGCUAAUUCCCUCUAACUAAAAAGGGUCUUUAAAAAUAGAACCCCAUGAAACUCCACCCUUUCUCCCAUUUUCCUUCAUUUUCUCCAGCUCCUUGUGAUGAAAUCCUUUGAUUGAGGACUGAGGACAUGAUAGCCUCUGGCAUUAGCAAGCUCUUACGUUGGUGUCUUGGACUGAGCACAUAACAGAACAUCUAAGCUAGGUUGGCAGAAGCUGGAGCUGACAGAGGGAGCUCACUCUGCUCCCCGGAUUCAAACCACCGACCUUUCAGUCAGCAAAUUCAGUAGCUCAAUGGUUUAGCCCACUGCAUCACCAGGGGCUCUUAUUGUAUUUGUAGGAAUAUCAAAUCAGCUAUCAACAUUACUAUCUUGUAGUGAAUGGUGAGCCACAAUUUAGAACCUCACCCUGAGACAUUUAAACUACCAGGUAAAUGUCAUUAAGCAUAGUGUGGCCAUCGCUUUGCAUUCAAUUUCUCAGCUAUAGAGUGAGGAAUGUUCUCACAGACUUUCUUACGGUGCAUAGAAAUAAUACAGUUUGACACACUAAUUGCCAUGGUUCAGUGCUCUGGAAUAAUGGGAUUUGUAGGUUUGGUGAGGCACCAGCAUUAUUUGGCAUUAUUUGGCUAAAGACCUUGUAAAUCUGCAACUUCCAUAAUUCCAGAGCAUUGAACUCUGACAGUUAAAUAUAUGUCUAACUGCAUUAAUUCUACAAAGCUGGUGCAUCCCUGAGAAGAGAGGCCCUAGGUUCUUUCUACUGUGCAUUUAAAUAAUACAAAUACACCUGGCUUGAACUGCUCAAAGUUCAAAGAAAACUUAGUAUAGAGAGUUUUGGAUUAACACAUAACAUUUCUUAGCACAUAUUGUAUGAACAAUAAGUUAUUGUGACAAUCAUUCAGAAGUGAAUUCAGUACAAAGCUGUGGCAUGUACGAAAUGCACCAAAAUUAUGAUGAGUGCUGUCUGAACUAAUAUUUGAUAAUGACAUGACAUCUCUUGGAGGCAUAUCACUGAUCCAUUUUGCUCUGAUAUCUAGAAACAAGCUAGCAGUUAGGAGUCUGACUAGGAAGCUGGGGAAGGUGAUGUGCAGGGAGGAAUCCUGCACAUCAUAUAUCAUAUAUCACAUUUUACAAACAGAAAAAGGAAAAGAGAGAGAUGCAAUAUUAAAAAAAACAGCAUGGCUACUUAUCAUUCAGGUAUAAUUUUCCACUUCAAGUCUGCAUCAACACAGUGAGGUUUCAUUCUGGAGAAGCAUCCUAUUUAAAGCUGGUCGUCAAGUUCAUUUCACUGUGGUUGGAGCCUCGGGUUGGGACCUCAGGUUUUAUUCAGAAGAGAACAUUGAUGUAAAUACUGGAUUUAUUAAAAAUAUUUCUUGAACUCUUCCUAAUAGUUGUAGCAGUUCACAUUUGGGCCUCUAGUUUUGCUAAAAAGACUGGCAAAUUUUGUUGCAGAAAACUGUAAUGGUGCAAGCUUUGCAGACCAUAGAGUUUCUCUGGGUUAUGAAACUGAUUAGGUGUUUCAUCCUACAGUGCUUGAAGUACAAUGUACUGUUCCAAGCCUGACAUGUUUCAUGCAUCCAAAAUGCUAGCAAAUUUCAUCUCUUGUUUUGAGUUCCACAGGUUUUCCCAGUACUCUUCUGGUGUACCUUCACAUCUUUAGAACUUUGAUGUUGAUUGAGCCAACCUCAUUUUCUUAACCUCUUCACCUUGUAUAUCCUACCAAUAGUAUCUUUUUGUUGUCGAAGGCGUUCAUGGCCGGGAUCACAGGGUUGUUGUAUGUUUUCUGGGCUGUGUGGCCAAAGUUCCUAUUCAGUGACACAAGGUCUGUUUGGUAGAUAACUCGUAGUCACUCAGGUAAGGGAUCUACUGUCAGUACCUUUUGUGUGACGGGAAACAAUUGACCUCACAUGUCCUUUAUUUCUCAUCAUGCAUCAGAGGUGCAGGUUUUGGCAUGUGAUGCAGAUAGUCUGUAGCUCAACCUCUGUGCCAGUGAUUGCAUAGUCAUUGUCACACUUAACAGAUCAUGAGGUUUGCAUGGCCAGAAGUGGUUUAACAAAGCAGCAGACCUCUGGGACCCCACAUAUGAGUCUGUUGUGGCCUGGAAGGCUGGGCCUCUUUGUUUCCCAAUAGCUAAGGUAGUCCUCCCAUGCUUUCUUGUUGUCCUCCCAAUUGCGUGUUCAUCAUCUACUUAAGGCUGCCUUCAUUCUAGCACUCUCUCUAUGGAUAACUCCUCCCUACAUUGAAAUAUGGCACCUGAGACUGCUCCCUAUUAGUCUCUGACCUCCAUUGUCACCAGGGUGACUUGCAAAUUCAUUUUCAGCUAUUUUAGAAAGACUAGUUGUAUAGGGACAGACAGGCUUUGGGGAGUGCCCUCCCUGGCAAAUCCAGAUCAUGCUUUUUAUGCCUAUGGGUAUCAGGGAUCUUAUUCUUCUGUUCUUUCUUUCACCCAGCACCAGUUUGGAAAAUUCCUGAAGCCAGCCAUGUCAGUUACUGGGCUGCCUCACCAAUUUUCCACCCAUUCUUCUGUAUAGGCAAUGUUACUUCACCUGCAGAAUGUGGAUUGCUUAGCACUAGUAUUCAGAAGGUGAUGUGUUGGCGCUCCAGUGUUUUCAAGUUCUUGUGUGAGAACUAAGGCUGGCUAGCAGUUGGCUUCACGUUUUAAAUAAUUCACUCAUCUCUCCUUUUUUAAUUCUGUUUUUUAAAGCAGAUCUGCCAUAACAUCUAGAAUAGUGGGAUACAGAUUGGUUUCCUGGAUGGAGUGGCAUGUGGUGCAUCAUUCCAAGAUCCAGGUACAUUAAGUGGUAGGAAUGGAGUUGGGUGCUCUUCUUCCCUGACUCCUAGAUGGAUGAUAAUGAUGUGAGACAGGAUUUAGGUCACAGCUAGGUGAGAAUGACCUAGUCAGACUUCAACUGAUCAGCAUGGUAACAGAGGAUUCUCAUAACAUCUGAUGUCCAUCUUCUGGGUAUAACAUCCUAUGGACUAAGAUGCUACCCAAUUGGGUGUAACAGGGGGCACAUAUUAACUUAGCCAUUAAUGCCAUACUAACUAUGAUAACAUCCACAUCAACUGACUAGACAGUGCUCCCAUCUCCCAUUCAAGCAUAUAUGUGAACUUGCCAUAACUUACAUGUAAUGUUUUUCAAUAGAAGCAAAAAUGUCUACCCAGGAAGUAGCAUUUCCUGUGCAGAAAAUAAUAUUUAUACACAAAAAUAUUGCUUUCUGUGCAACAAAUUCUGUUUUCUGUAAAACCACAUUUUAAAACUAUAUGUUUUUAAAAAUUGGAAUAUUCCUAUUUUUAGUGACCAGCUUACUGUGGAGGUAAUGUUGGUGGGCAGGAAAAAAGAUUUAAAGAUGGGCUUAAAGCCAACCUUAAAAACUGUGGCAUAGACACUGACAACUGGGAAGCCCUGGCCCUUGAGCGCUCCAGUUGGAGGUCAGCUGUGACCAGCAGUGCUGCGGAGUACAAAGAGGCACGAAUGGAGGGCUUAAGGGAGAAAUGUGCCAAGAGGAAGGCCCGUCAAGCCAACCCUGAUCGGCUUGAUCACGGAAACCGAUGUCCUCACUGCGGGAGAACAUGCAGAUCAAGAAUAGGUCUCUUCAGCCACCUAAGAACCCAUCCUCAAGACACCAGAGAUGGAAGACAAUCCUCCUCAAGCUACGAGGGAUAGCCUAAGUAAGUAAGUGUGGUGGUGGGUCAUUUUAGAAAGAAAGAAAAAGCGUGAUGCCGAACCAGUGGCCAAAAUUUCACUCCAACAUUGAACAGUCAAAAUUUUCUUCACAUUUUCUUUUACUUUUGCACUGAAAUUAGAAAACAGGGCUAUUCCAGGUGCCAGGUUUUUCCCAAGAGUUGCCAGUUUCUAAUCCCUCUACUGGAAGGUAGAAAGUUCACAGCCUGUUUUUAACUGUGAAGGAUGUAGAAAGCUUUUGCUAAAAAAAUAUUAUUUCCCUCUUUCUGAAAAUCUGCAACCUUGGCAACAAGGGAGGAUUAUUAGUACAGAAAGCAACAAUGUGAUUAGACAGUUCAUUAGUAGGAAGGUGGAGAAUACUAAUGGCAAGAUUUUCAUCUACAGUGUCAAGCGCUGACCUGGCAUCCAUUUCUGACAGCAAAAUCACUUCCCGGUGGUAUUAACCACACGCUACGAAAUAAAAAACCAUGUUCUUUUUACAAGAGCUCAUCAAAGGAAUCUGGAACCAGCACUUCGGAGAUUCCAAGAUCCCACUGUACUCUCUGCAGAUUGCCAGCCAGAGAAAUUGUGGUAGUUUAUGUACUAAAAGUAAGGAUCUCUAUUAGGCUUCAAUCUACAUUGAUGUGAGUAUUUGAGAGCUUAUGCUAAUUAUAAUUGAUUAAUUACUAAGAUGCCACAAGUCUCCUUGUUUUUGUAGCAAAAUAUUAACAUGGCCAUUCUUCAGGAAAGAAACACCAACCUUUUAAUAGAAUGUAUCUCUCUUUACAGCUCCUACAUACAUUAUAUUCCCUCUGUGCAGCUUUUGCUCAUAUUACAUCUUCAUCUUUUAUUCCUUGUCCUAUAUACAUAUAUAUACAUACAUACACACACAUACAUACUAGCUGUACCCAGGCAUGCAUUGCUAUGGCCCAGUCUGGUGAAAUUGAAAAGAAAUAAAAGAAAUUAUAUCUGAUUUCACAAUGCUUAUGGGUAUACAAUUUUAAAAUCAAUUUUAUUAGGCAUAAAAUAAUAGAAAAGAAGAAAAAAGACACAAAGAUAAUAAAAAUAAUAAUAUAUACAAUUUUGGGUAUACAAUUUUUGUUGGCUCAUUUAUAUAGCUAUUAGUCUAUGUCAUAAUAAUAAUAACCCUGGUCUAAAUAACAACAACAACAACAAUAAUGGUGGUAAUAAUAAACAUACUGCCCUGUAUUAAAAGAUAAAGAUUUCCUCUGAUGUUAAGUCCAGUCGUGUCCGACUCUGGGGGUUGGUGCUCAUCUCCAUUUCUAAGCCGAAGAGCCGGCAUUGUCCGUAGACACCUCCAAUGUCAUGUGGCCGGCAUGACUGCAUGGAAUGCCGUUACCUUCCCGCCGGAGUGGUACCUAUUGAUUUACUCACAUUUGCAUGUUUUCGAACUGCUAGGUUGGCAGAAGCUGGAGCCAACAGCGGGCGCUCACUCUGUUCCUCGGGUAUGAACCUGGGACCUUUCGGUGUGCAAGUUCAGCAGCUCAGCACUUUAACACAUUGAGCCACCGGAGGCUCCAUGCCCUGUAUUAUAACACUAAUAAUAACAAGAAUUUAUAUUAUAAUAUUAAUACUGGUGUAUAUAAUAAUUACAGUAAUGACAAUGUUACUGGUCUAUAUAAUAAUAUCUAUCUCUCCCUUCUUACCAUUCAAUCCUUUCUUCCAUCUGAGCCUUCAGUCUUUUUGGAGGCACGGGCAUGAGGCGGUGCUGGGCACCGCCAGGCAUAACAUAAUGCUAUGUGAGCUCGGGGUUUGGGCUGGGCCUACCUCCAUGCCUGCCUCCUUCACUCCCUCCCCUGGGGCCAAGCCUGCCCUCUCCUCGGCCUGGAUUUCCCGAUUUGUUCCGCCACCCUUUUCCUGGUUCUAUUCUGGAGGUAGGCAGGAGGUGCGGGUAUGAGGCGGUACCAGGCAAGGCCGAGCAGUGCAUGAGGCUAUGGGAACCUGGGGCUUGGGCUGCGCCUCCCUCCCCCCGGGCUCAUGCCCCACCUCUCUCUCCAGCCUGGAUUUCUCUACCUGCUCCGCCACCCUUUUCCUGCUUGUCUUCUCCCAGUUCUGCUCCAGAGGGAGGCAGGAAGGCAGACUCAGUGGAGGGUGACCAGGCCACAGAACCGUAAUGGUGACUCCAGCACUGGCAAGAUGGUGGUGGCACUGGGGGCUUCUUCUCUUGGAAGAGAGGAGGCCAGCAAGACAGGUAUCUUGGUCCUGGAGGUGGGGCCAGGGUGGAGGGAACUGGGGAUGGAGGCCACGAGGAGGAGAGCCAAGUGCAGAGCACGGGAGAUUGAAUUUUUAGAACCUUAACAGUCAUAUAUAGUAUAGUGUGUGUUGCUUGAACGUCAAGCAGAUGGCAAUGUUUUUGAAGCUAAGCAUGUUUUUACCUGUCUCAGAUGUGUCAUCUGUUUAAUAGUAGAUGUGUGAAUACAUAAAAACACUCACCAGUUAGAUUGCUGUGUUGUGUCAAAAUUUCGUAGUAAUCAUUGAAGUAGUUUGGGAAAUAUGAUGUUAUGAACAAAUGUACAUUUACAUUUUUAUUUAUAUAGAUGUAUAUAUAUCAAAAUGUGUUAAAACAUUAUUUCUGCCAGACACAGCCACAGGGUCAUCACCUCCCUGUUGACCACACAAAGAAAUUUCCUAGACUUUUGGGUUGGGCUAAUCCGUUGAAUAAAGAUGACCAUCAAAGACCCAUUAUGUGUGUAGCACAGCAGGAGGUUUCUGUUCUCAAUCUGAUAUCAUCAAACUGAUCCUUAUCCACUGAUUCCCCUCAAUUGAGUUGAGGGGUGGCUGACUAUGGAAACAGAAGGCUAAAGGAUGUGCACACACUGGACUUCUUUCUUUUCACCCAAGACUUGAUUACAGAAGAUCACCACAUUUUGUUCUGAAUGCCCACACAUUUGCUUUUCCCAUGGGAUUUCCUCAUCAUCAGAGGCUCACAAUAUACAUCCUAAUCUGGACCCUUUUUUCUGCAUCCCAGGCACUUGAUCACCCAAAACUGGAUUAUAUACUACCUGGAAAGUUCUCUAAGCUCUCUGAAAUAUGAUCAUGGACUUCCUGGGCCUGCCUCCUUCCAGGAGAGCCAGCAUUGAUUGGUCCUUUUUGGGGGCAUGUCCUCCUUCAUCUCCUCCCCUCCACCACAAAAACGCUGCCUGGUGGCGAAAGCAUCACCACAGUGCCGACCAAUCGAGGUGACGCUUCGGGCCAGCUCCUCUGCUGGCCAAUCAGAAAAGGGAGCGGACCAAGGGAGAAAACUUGAAUAACUGUUAAAUGUAUGAAAAUACAUGUUGGUACAGUGUCUGUUAAUGCUAGCAUUUUUGGUGCUACUCUUACAUGCAUCCUUUCUGGCCAGAUUGUAAUUAAAGCCUCUAUUGCCUA